rnacentral:rRNA from 1 species
UACGAAGGGGGCUAGCGUUGCUCGGAAUCACUGGGCGUAAAGCGCACGUAGGCGGCUUCUUAAGUCAGGGGUGAAAUCCUGGAGCUCAACUCCAGAACUGCCUUUGAUACUGAGAGCUUGAGUCCGGGAGAGGUGAGUGGAACUGCGAGUGUAGAGGUGAAAUUCGUAGAUAUUCGCAAGAACACCAGUGGCGAAGGCGGCUCACUGGCCCGGUACUGACGCUGAGACGCGAAAGCGUGGGGAGCGAACAGG